GUUGAACGCUGGCGGCCGGCCUAACACAUGCAAGUCGAGCGCGUGGCGGACGGGUGAGUAAUGUGUGUGGAACUGCCCGAUAGAGGGGGAUAACUACUGGAAACGGUGGCUAUUACCGCAUACUAUCGGAUGACCCCAGAUGGCAUUAGCUAGUAGGUGGGGUAACGGCUAACCUAGGCGACUAUCUCUGGCUGGUCUGAGAGGAUGAUCAGCCAGACUGGGACUGAGACACGGUCCAGACUCCUACGGGAGGCAGCAGUGGGGAAGAUUGCGCAAUGGGCGCAAGCCUGAUGCAGCCAUGCCGCGUGUAUGAAGAAGGCCUUCGGGUUGUAAAGUACUUUCAGCGGGGAGGCGUUACUCGCAGAGGAAGCACCGGCUAACUCCGUGCCAGCAGCCGCGGUAAUUC
rnacentral:rRNA from 1 species